rnacentral:rRNA from 1 species
AUACGGAGGGUGCAAGCGUUAAUCGGAAUUACUGGGCGUAAAGCGCGCGUAGGCGGUUUGGUAAGUCGGAUGUGAAAGCCCCGGGCUCAACCUGGGAAUUGCAUUCGAUACUGCCAGACUAGAGUAUGGUAGAGGGAAGUGGAAUUCCGGGUGUAGCGGUGAAAUGCGUAGAUAUCCGGAGGAACACCAGUGGCGAAGGCGACUUCCUGGACCAAUACUGACGCUGAGGUGCGAAAGCGUGGGGAGCAAACAGGAUUAGAAACCCUUGUAGUCC